UUCCUAUCUCCCUUCCCUGGACUCUAGCCACUGUGAGGCUGAGGCAUCUGCCUUGCUGCAUUACAGCCUUCCUCUUUAGCCUUCCUCCUCAGCCACACAAAAACAAAGACGGCUGAUUUGAGGUGGGAACAGCUGCCCUGAAGCAUGGAUCCCUACCUAGGGCCAGUCAGAAGAUGAGUGAAGCCCAGGGCUCAGAAACAAAUCUCCAACCUUCUGGAACUUUGCUGGAGGCUUGGACUGGGUAAGUGGUGGCCUGUCUGAGUUGCUUUGAUGUCACACAAAUGACAAAAGUCAGAUGUGAAACAUAGCUUCUUGGAAGUCAUGUUUUGAGCUCCUGGUGUCCAUAAAGCCUCUGUUACCAGUAAAUCCUUUCACCCUCCUCUCGGAGGGAGGACGGUCUGGCCGUGUCUGCCCCCUCCUGCAGGACAGUUUGGAACCAGGGUAUCACUGGACUCACUAGACACAGAAGAUGGGGACUGGCUCGGUGACUCCCAGAAGUCAACCAGAGAGAAAGAGCGAGGAAUCUUGUCCUAGCCUGCAGCCACUGUCUGGCGGAAUCAGCAGGGGCUUAGAGAUGGGUCCCCUGAGCCCAGGUCACAAGGGAGAUGAGCAUCAGUGUGCUCUUAUUAGCAAGCUAUGCUGCCCUCAUUAAGCAAAAGAGAGGGAUGGUACUAAAACAAAGGCCUGCCGAGCCAGCACUGUGUGCUGCGCUGGGGAGGAGGCUUAAUGGGCAAAAAGGCUUCACCGGAGCACAUCUUCAAGUCAACAGGAGGCCUUGCAGACGAGCGUCUCUGCAGACUGUGAGACCUGAAUAAUAAUUCAGCAUCUCAAGGCAAACGGCGCAGAGCCUGUGCUCACCUGUGAGUCUGUCCUGGGAGUCACCUAGUCCAUGGAGCAGCUUACACUGCCCGUUCCUCCUGGGAGAGGGUUCUCCAUGCGGAUGUGCAGAGGACAGUGUGGUCCAGGAGGCUGGCGAGCAGAUUUGCAGCAGGCCUCCCUUGGCUGAACAGGCAGGUUCUCUGGAAGCUCUCAUGCCACAGACUGAGCAGACAGUGUCCUGUGUAUCCUUCUGUCCUCCUGGGUGUCUAAGCCUGACAGCACCUACCCUCAAGGCUGGGGGAGGCAUUGGUCCUUCAGCAAUGAAAGUCGGCGCUGAAAGAAACAAGCACCCUGCUCAGCAGAGCCCUUUGCUUUACAGAGAAGGGAACUGAGGCUAAGGGACAGGGCGUGGCAGGCUUAGAUCUGGAGAUCAGGUGGUGGCUGUGCUGGAUGUGACCAUGUCUGGCGCCAGCCCAAUGUCCUCAGAUCCCCAUGGGCAUGUGAGGAGCCCAGGCCUUCGCUCAAAGGGACACAGAAAUUUCCAUAAGAUCUGAAGGGAGGCCGUCCCUAAAUAUAGAGCUGGAAGGAGCCUGGUAGUCAGACAUAGCCAUCACCAGAGACCAGCGUUUGGGUAGAAUGUCUCUGUGGCUCUCUUUAGUGACUCUUCCCUCUGUCCAGUCAGUGUAGUUGGUGUCCAACAGAUAGGACUGUUGGACUUGUUGGCCACAUGACCUUGGGCAAGGAUUCUCACCAUAGCAUCAGCUUGUCCUGGGAGGGUACCUUCCCCUCACUUGUGGAGAGAAAGUGACAUUUCAAAUUAGAUGAGAUCUCGGGGGCCUUUAAGGGUUACCUAGAGUCUCAGGUCUAGGUUGUCUCUCAGGAGAAGGUAGCAUGCCUGGUCAACCAGUUUGCAUGUGUGUGUGUGUGUGUGUGUACAUGUGCACAUGUGUGGAGACUUGAGAUCAAUGCCACAAAUCUUCCUCAAUUGGUCUCCAUCUUAGCCUUUGACACAAGGUUUCCCACUGAACCCCAGUUGACCAGUGAACUCUGAUUUCUGUCUGUCUGACUCAACUGCCAGGGUUUCAGACUUUAGUGACCAUAUCCAAUGAGUUGGAAGUAACCAUCUUUGUCUCUGGAAGAGCUAAAGUUUAAUUUCUUUUAGUCUUCAAUUGUCUUUAGCUGUUUUCUCUCUUGUGGCUACCAUCGCAUCUGUCUUCUGCCACUGUGUGCUGCACACUCCUUUUGGGAAGCUGACUGGUCACACUGCAUCAGUCAUCUGGAAGCAGCAAGCAAACAGGACAUAGGGCUGGGAGAUACGAUCUGAAAGCCCACCCCCAGCAUUGUCCACCCUUCAGUGAAAUCCAGCUCCUAAUGUAAUGUAAUGGAGAGCUGCCAGCUGAAGGCCAAGUGUGCAAACACUGGAGCCUGUGGGGGUAAGGACCAAGUGUGCAAACACUGGAGUCUGUAGGGGUAAGGACCAAGUGUGCAAACACUGGAGCCUGUGGGGGUAAGGACCAAGUGUGCAAACACCGGAGCCUGUGGGGUAAGGACCAAGUGUGCAAACACUGGAGUCUAUGGAGGUAAGGACCAAGUGUGCAAACACCGGAGCCUAUGGGGUAAGGACCAAGUGUGCAAACACUGGAGUCUGUAGGGGUAAGGACCAAGUGUGCAAACACUGGGGCCCGUGGGGGUAAGGACCAAGUGUGCAAACACUGGAGCCUAUGGGGUAAGGACCAAGUGUGCAAACACCGGAGCCUGUGGGGUAAGGACCAAGUGUGCAAACACUGGAGUCUAUGGGAGGUAAGGACCAAGUGUGCAAACACCGGAGCCUGUGGGGUAAGGACCAAGUGUGCAAACACUGGAGUCUAUGGGGGUAAGGACCAAGUGUGCAAACACUGGAGUCUAUGGAGGUAAGGACCAAGUGUGCAAACACUGGAGUCUAUGGGGGUAAGGACCAAGUGUGCAAACACUGGGGCCCAUGGGGAUAAGGACCAAGUGUGCAAACACUGGAGUCUAUGGGAGGUAAGGACCAAGUGUGCAAACACUGGAGCCUGUGGGGUAAGGACCAAGUGUGCAAACACUGGAGCCUGUGGGGUAAGGACCAAGUAUGCAAACCCUGGAGUCUAUGGAGGUAAGGACCAAGUGUGCAAACACUGGAGUCUAUGGGGGUAGGAACCAAGUGUGCAAACACUGGGGUCCGUGGGGGUAAGGACCAAGUGUGCAAACACUGGAGUCUAUGGAGGUAAGGACCAAGUGUGCAAACACUGGAGCCUGUGGGGUAAGGACCAAGUGUGCAAACACUGGAGUCUAUGGGAGGUAAGGACCAAGUGUGCAAACACUGGAGCCUGUGGGGUAAGGACCAAGUGUGCAAACACUGGAGCCUGUGGGGUAAGGACCAAGUGUGCAAACACCGGAGCCUGUGGGGUAAGGACCAAGUGUGCAAACACUGGAAUCUAUGGAGGUAAGGACCAAGUGUGCAAACACUGGAGCCUGUGGGGUAAGGACCAAGUGUGCAAACACUGGAAUCUAUGGAGGUAAGGACCAAGUGUGCAAACACUGGAAUCUAUGGAGGUAAGGACCAAGUGUGCAAACACUGGGGCCCAUGGGGGUAAGGACCAAGUGUGCAAACACUGGGGCCUGUGGGAUAUAGGGACCAAGUGUGCAAACACUGGGACCUAUGGGGGUAAGGACCAAGUGUGCAAACACUGGGGCCCAUGGGGGUAAGGACCAAGUGUGCAAACACUGGAGUCUAUGGGGGUAGGAACCAAGUGUACAAACACUGGGGUCUGUGGGGUAAGGACCAAGUGUGCAAACACUGGGGUCUGUGGGGUAAGGACCAAGUGUGCAAACACUGGAGCCUAUGGGGGGUAAGGACCAAGUGUGCAAACACUGAGCCUAUUUCGGGGGGCAUCUUACAUUAAAGCUGUGACACUGUCUUGUAGGAAGCCUGGCUUAAUGGUACUGUGGCAAGGGUGUGGCUGGGGAGUGCUGACACGCAGAAGACUUCAGAGUCAGGCAAUCUUGAUAGUUGUACCUCGGAGAUGAUCUCGUGCCUGCUUCCUGAACUUUGUUGAGGAUCUCUGACAACAUCUAGCUGCUGCAGAGAUGUCAGGUCUUUAAAGCAAGGGCCAAAUGCUCUUGCAUCCCCAAGGACCUCUCUGAAGAUGGGGUCUCCAGAAACACCCGAGUCAUCAUGUGACAUCUCCUGCAAAUGCUUCCAUGUGCGUUUCUAAAAAUAAAGACCUGUAUUUUUAGACAUGAUGAUGGGUUUCGAGACAGUCUCAAAUCUUCACAUCACCAGCCUCAGGUUGGUUCUGUUCCUCGGUGUCUCCCAAGUGCUGACUUACUCCUUCCAUUGUGCUUGAACGACUGAGGACACUGAGUUUGACAGGUGUAUCCCCCACAACCAUGAGAAAUCAUCCCAAGGAGAUGUACACAUACCGGUGUUCACAGCGCUGCUGUGUACAACAGCUCAGAUGUGGAGUCAUCACAAAUGCCCAGCAGAUGUGCACACAACCAAAACGCCAUCCAUCCACACAGUGAGCUGUCCCACAGCCUGAGAAGGGACAGAAGACAUUCUGAGAUGCGCUGAAAUGUCGAUGGGCCCCAAGAUCACCGUCACAGAAGGACAGACACCGAGUCUACUCGUGAGGGUCCUGAAGGAAUCAAACUGCAGACAAGAGUCAGAAUGCUGGGUCUAGGGACACAGGCAGGGGCAGGAGGGUGUUGAAUCGGGACAUAGACGGCUGAAUUGUGUACUGAAGACAUCUGAGAUGGUACAUUUUAUAUUGUGAACAUCCAAAGCUGAGAGGGUGUUGGGGGGAAAUUCGGAUGAGACGGGAAGAGGGGGACAUAAUUUUCAAAGAAAUAAAUUUGACAGCUGCUUUCUCGGCAGAGAAGAAGUAGAAAUCAAAGGACUGUAAAUGAAUGCGAUCAUUCAAGUGCUAAGAAAAAUAAUUACCGACUUAGAAUUCUAUGCCUGUGACAACCAUCUAAAAACCAAGGUAAGCCGAAGGAAUUUUCAAAUAAAGUCUGAGAAAAUUUGCAGCCAAAACACGUGAACUAACAGUAGUGCACAAGAGAAGUCUCCCACAGUAGGGAAAUGAUCCAGGAUGGAGCUUUGAAUGGGAAAGGGACAAAUGCCCAGGUCAGCCUGGGAGAACACAGCAUGCUUAGAGUAACCAAAUGGAAAGAGAAAGCGGCCAUGGCAU